AUUCCGUGAUGAGGUCACUUCCGUAAUAAUUCAUUGUACCUUUCCCAUGCCUCAUACAACGACUCAUUAUCAAUUUGUUGGAAAGUAGUGAUCUCGUUCCUCAACUU
rfam:Gossypium arboreum cultivar AKA8401 contig_25675_3, whole genome shotgun sequence.